rnacentral:lncRNA from 1 species
AACCCGGUACCUCAGAUGGAAAUGCAGAAAUCACCUGUCUUCUGCUUCGCUCACGCUGGGAGCUGUAGACCGGAGCUGUUCCUGUUCGGCCAUCUUGGCUCCUCCCUGCCAGAUAGCUCUUAUUUUGAGUUGUUCACUGUUGGUGUAUAGUGCAGUGGUACUAGCAUAAAAACAGACACAUAAACCAAUGGAACCAAAUAGAGACCCAGAAACAAAACCAUACAUCUGCAGUGAACUCAUUUUCUACGAAGUUGCCAAGAACUCGCAAUGAGGAAAGGAUUGUCUCUUCAAAAUAAAUGGUGCUGGGAAAACUGGAUGUCUAUAUGUAGAAGAAUGAAACUAGAUCCUUUUUUCUUGAGUGCCUCUUUGAGUGGUAUGAAGUUAAAACCAGCUCUGAAGGCUGAGAACUUCAAGAUCAAGGCACCAGUAGACUCAGUGUCUUAUGAGUGCUACUAUUUGCUUCAAAGACGAUGCCUUCUUGCUAAAUCCUCUGCAGAAAGCUGAAGAUCCACCGUGCAAGGAAGACAUCAAGGAGAUCCCUGCUGUACAUAGGAAUUUGAAUGAGAAUUUCCCUUCAAUUCUGAGACACUAUAAAUCUGACAUCAUAUAGUAAUAUGAAAGGUGAUAUUUCACACAUAACCAAGGCACAACUUCUCUUUUCAGUAAAUAUUGCUAAACUCAAAAAAACCUACACAUAUGACUUAAAUGAUAGAUAUAAAUAAAGGUGGUUUCAACAC